rnacentral:rRNA from 1 species
CUGUCUUAGUGGCGGACGGGUGAGUAACGCGUGGGCAACCUGCCCUGUACCGGGGGAUAACACUUAGAAAUAGGUGCUAAUACCGCAUAAUAGGGAAUACCGCAUGGUAANCCUUUGAAAACUCCGGUGGUACAGGAUGGGCCCGCGUCUGAUUAGCCAGUUGGCGGGGUAACGGCCCACCAAAGCGACGAUCAGCAGCCGGCCUGAGAGGGUGGACGGCCACACUGGGACUGAGACACGGCCCAGACUCCUACGGGAGGCAGCAG